CCAGUCCCAAAGCCAGGAGAGAGUUCACGCUCCCUGCCCAGGAGUUCAUCCUUCCUUUCAAGCCCUCUUGAGAGAGGAGGCGGAAGGAAAGGGGCAAGCCCAACCCAGAAGGAGCCCCAGGACAAGCGGGGAGGGCCCAGGAGAGGGAAGAAAGCACUGGCCAAAGAGAAGGUGGGGAGACUCCCCUGGCUCCAGGGCCCGGGAGAAGAAAGACGAGGCAGCAAUGGGAGAGUAAACCAGGGGAGAGGUGAGGUGACAGGCAGGCCUGGGCAGGGCUCGGAGCAGGAUGGAGAGAGGAAGUAAGAAACUGGAGCAGCCCAGUGAUGAGGCGGGUAGCAGGGGGAGGGCAACCAAGACAAUGAAGAAGCAUGGGGCUGCAGGGAGGCCAACCAGCUGCCACUUCCAGUGUCCCCUGGGGACUUGCUGGGGUGCCCCUGGGCAGGUCUCUUUCCCUCUCUGGCCUGUCUUCCCAUCUGGAAAGCAGGAGAUCGGACAAGAUGGUCUUGAGAGGUCUCUCGUGUGAGGAACCUAGGGGUUCCAUGCUUGCCAGCAAGAGGGGAGCGGCUGGGAGCAGACAGGCUCUUCUUGACUCUUGGAGUACCCUGGAACUGUGAAUACUAUAAUUCACUCAGAAGCAAGGUCUACAAAUUCCAAGUAGAUGUGAUAUCAAGAGAAGGCCAGGAAACCUGAGUUCUCCUUUCAGCAUGACCAGUUUUCCUCCUGGUGGCCCCUGGGAAAGCCAUAUUUUCCUUUUGGGCCUCAACGUCUGCUUGUCUAUGGAAGAGAAGCCAAAAUGCUCUCCAAGGGCCAUUCUAGCAAUAAACCUUCAGAGAAGAGCUAAGUCUCCAGAUAUGUUCCCAUCUCUGGGAACUUCAUUCCUUGCACCUAGAGCAGCCUCCCUCCUAUCUUCAGAAGAUCAACCAUUGGCUGCUGGAAAAUUCUACUCUUGUAACCCCAGCCCAUGGGUAUAUAUAGGGAUCCCCAUGGGAACCAGUGUGCAACUGCAUGGCCUCAGGAGCGCUGAGCACCUGCCCUGGCCAUUGGAUGCCGCAGAAUUCCUUGCAGUCUUCCUAAGACUGCAGACCACAGCACUGACUCACCCUCAUCCUCCCACCACCAUGAGAGAAUGACAACCAUGAGGAGGAAGAUGUCAAUGAUGACUUCAGUGGCCCUCUUGCACCCAUCCUCACCCCCAAAUCUGUUUCUGACACCCUGUCCCAGUCACACCCAGGCUUCUGAUGAAUCUGACUCCUUCUCCCACCAUCUCUGAGGCGGUGGCUUCUGAAAACUGUGGUCAGUGAAGUGUCUACCGCAAGCCUUUGUCUAAUUAUCUGCAUUGUUCUGGGUUCUGAAUGAUGUCCAGCCAAGAGCUUCCUUUAUGUCAUUUUAUACACAGUCUGCCCCCCAAAUCAGUCCAACACCACCCACUCAGCCCCUAGUCCUUGGGGUUCACCUUGUGGCCAGUGGCCUCAAUAGCUUGGCCACCUAAGGGGGACCCCACCAGAGCCUUUGUGUCUCCACUGCUUUGUGUCUGUCUGCUCCUUGGAGUCAGACAUUGCUUGCUCAGCACCUGCUCUGUGAUGGGCACGGUGCUGGGCACCAUCUAACACAAAGGACCUGGCCUUAGGGGUUCACAGUCUAGAGGGAAGAUAAAACUUUCACAGACAGACAAAAAUCAUAGCAUAGGACAGCAGCAUGGAUAGUCUCCUACAAGAGGAUCAGACAAAUUCCCGGAAUUUCCUUGGGGAGAAUCAGUGUGACCUGGUGUGGUCAGUCAAGGCGGGUACUUCCGAUAAAGGAAGGGGAAGACUCCAAUCAGCAGAAAGAUUGGAAGUGGGAUGUGAGUGGGGGAUAGGAGGAUAGACACUGAUGUAUAUAGGAAGCCAGGAUACUUCACACCCUCCACCCCUACCUGGGCCCUCUGGCCAUUUCCCUGUCCCUACCACUUCAGGAUCAGGGACCCCGCACAUGUGGAGUGGCCUUGAGGCCACUGUGAGCCUUGAACUCCACCCUACUUAGAGCUGCCUUCUUCUAGUUGCUUUCCAGGGAUCCACAGAGAAUGAUGCCCUCUCCCCAAAACGCACAUGUCCACACGUGCACACCCACCCUAAAGACAACAGCUUCAUGAGCUUUUCUGUCAAAUCCCCUGGGAUCCUCCCAUGGAUUCAUCCUCCAUCUCUCUCCCUCAUUCACUCCAAUCUGUGUAUAUUACACCUCGCAGCCUCACCCCUCCUCGCACGGUCCUCCCAUCAUUACAUAACUCUGUUUGGGAUUAUUUUUGCCCAGAGGUAUGAGUUGCAUUUCUGCAUAUUUAAGCUGUCCUUGAUUCAUUCCUGCCCGUUUCUUAGUUCUGUUUGCCCAGGUGCCCGCCCCACCCACAGGCUCUGAGGCCCCUGGGAACAUGCCCACGUCAGGCUCAGCUUGCUUCUCAGCGGCUGCUCCACUCCAGCCCACGACAGCAGACCCCACAACAGAGCCAUCCAGGGCAGCACUCAGUUUUGAUUUGCACUCUUGAGAGUCCCUUGGACUGCAAAGAGAUCCAAC